CGGCGCGGCGCGCCCUGUCCAUGGUGCGGGCGGCGGCGGCGCGGGUGUCCCCGCGGCGGGAGCGCGGCGGCGCGGGGCUGUAUGGACGUGAUGUCCCCGCAACAGGAGCACCUCGGCCCGGGCCGCUCGUCCUCGGUGAGCGGCGAGAGCAGGGGCUUUGCCGCCGCCGCCGACAGCAAGAAGAAAAUGAAGAGUUUGGCCCAAAGACGCCAGUCUGCACCAUCUUUGAUCUUUGUCAAAGCACUCAGCAGAUCUAGAUCGGCCUCAAGGCAGAAGAGGAGCACAGUAAAUAUUACAGAUCCUAUAGUGGAAUCUUGGCCCUUACAUCCAAGAGAUGAAGAUAUGUACACCGCUGUUGCCACAUGUUCUUGUUUCUCUUCCUUUUUUCCCUGUACAUCUUUUUCAUCACAAAAAUGUGAUGAAUAGCCAUGUAAAGACUCUGCACAUCAUCAGAUGUACUCUUCAGAAGCAGUUUGAGCAAGGUUAUUGUAGAAAUACAUUGGAAAAGUAAGCUUUUGGUAUUUUUCUUGGCUCAUAUUCAGGUGCAGAAAAAAUAAAUUUGAUUGAUAACCCCA
rnacentral:lncRNA from 1 species